rnacentral:piRNA from 1 species
UUCUCCUUGACUUCAAUUUGG